UACAGAGGUGACAAACGUUGUCCGGAAUUAUUGGGCGUAAAGGGCGCGUAGGUGGUUGAGUAAGUCAGGUGUGAAAGCUCUGGGCUUAACCCAGGAAUUGCAUCUGAUACUGCUCGGCUUGAGUACGGUAGAGGAGGGUGGAAUUCCCAGUGUAGCGGUGAAAUGCGUAGAUAUUGGGAGGAACACCGGUGGCGAAGGCGGCCCUCUGGACCGAAACUGACGCUGAGGAGCGAAAGCGUGGGGAGCGAACAGG
rnacentral:rRNA from 1 species